CCAGCAGCCGCGGUAAUACGUAGGGCGCAAGCGUUAUCCGGAAUUAUUGGGCGUAAAGAGCUCGUAGGCGGUUUGUCGCGUCUGCCGUGAAAGUCCGGGGCUCAACUCCGGAUCUGCGGUGGGUACGGGCAGACUAGAGUGAUGUAGGGGAGACUGGAAUUCCUGGUGUAGCGGUGAAAUGCGCAGAUAUCAGGAGGAACACCGAUGGCGAAGGCAGGUCUCUGGGCAUUAACUGACGCUGAGGAGCGAAAGCAUGGGGAGCGAACAGGAUUAGAUACCCUGGUAGUCCAUGCCGUAAACGUUGGGCACUAGGUGUGGGGGACAUUCCACGUUUUCCGCGCCGUAGCUAACGCAUUAAGUGCCCCGCCUGGGGAGUACGGCCGCAAGGCUAAAACUCAAAGGAAUUGACGGGGGCCCGCACAAGCGGCGGAGCAUGCGGAUUAAUUCGAUGCAACGCGAAGAACCUUACCAAGGCUUGACAUGAACCGGUAAGACCUGGAAACAGGUCCCCCGCUUGCGGUCGGUUUACAGGUGGUGCAUGGUUGUCGUCAGCUCGUGUCGUGAGAUGUUGGGUUAAGUCCCGCAACGAGCGCAACCCUCGUUCUAUGUUGCCAGCACGUGAUGGUGGGGACUCAUAGGAGACUGCCGGGGUCAACUCGGAGGAAGGUGGGGACGACGUCAAAUCAUCAUGCCCCUUAUGUCUUGGGCUUCACGCAUGCUACAAUGGCCGGUACAAAGGGUUGCGAUACUGUGAGGUGGAGCUAAUCCCAAAAAGCCGGUCUCAGUUCGGAUUGGGGUCUGCAACUCGACCCCAUGAAGUCGGAGUCGCUAGUAAUCGCAGAUCAGCAACGCUGCGGUGAAUACGUUCCCGGGCCUUGUACACACCGCCCGUCAAGUCACGAAAGUUGGUAACACCCGAAGC
rnacentral:rRNA from 1 species